rnacentral:misc_RNA from 1 species
AAAGCAAGAAAGGCAUUUGAGUCUUCUGAAAAUGAAGCGAAGAAGAGAAAAGAACAAUGUGGAGAAUUAGGUGUACCAAAGGGCAAGGAGAAGGAAGCUUUAAAUGAAUCUGGAGGUAUGGAAAUGCUUCUAGAUGCUGCCCAAACUCUCAACUACCAGGAGGAUUUAGCUGCUUUAGGAUCAAAAGACUGAUACUCAAAUCAUUGCAUGAAUUAUGGUAGCUCUGUAUAUGAAGGAUGUGGUUGGGUUCCAG